GGCAAAAGCUCAAAUUUGAAAUCUGNCNCCUUCGGUGUCCGAGUUGUAAUUUGAAGAUUGUACCCUUGGGGUUGGCUCUUGUCUAUGUUUCUUGGAACAGGACGUCACAGAGGGUGAGAAUCCCGUGCGAUGAGAUGCCCAAUCCUAUGUAAGGUGCUUUCGAAGAGUCGAGUUGUUUGGGAAUGCAGCUCUAAGUGGGUGGUAAAUUCCAUCUAAAGCUAAAUAUUGGCGAGAGACCGAUAGCGAACAAGUACAGUGAUGGAAAGAUGAAAAGAACUUUGAAAAGAGAGUGAAAAAGUACGUGAAAUUGUUGAAAGGGAAGGGUUUGAGAUCAGACUCGAUAUUUUGUGAGCCUUGCCUUCGUGGCGGGGUGACCCGCAGCUUAUCGGGCCAGCAUCGGUUUGGGCGGUAGGAUAAUGGCGUAGGAAUGUGACUUUGCUUCGGUGAAGUGUUAUAGCCUGCGUUGAUGCUGCCUGCCUAGACCGAGGACUGCGAUUUUAUCAAGGAUGCUGGCAUAAUG
rnacentral:rRNA from 1 species